CUUGCUCCACCGGGAAAAGAGGAGUGGCGAACGGGUGAGUAACACGUGGGUAACCUGCCCAUCAGAAGGGGAUAACACUUGGAAACAGGUGCUAAUACCGUAUAACAAUCGAAACCGCAUGGUUUCGUUUUGAAAGGCGCUUUACGGUGCCGCUGAUGGAUGGACCCGCGGUGCAUUAGCUAGUUGGUGAGGUAACGGCUCACCAAGGCCACGAUGCAUAGCCGACCUGAGAGGGUGAUCGGCCACAUUGGGACUGAGACACGGCCCAAACUCCUACGGGAGGCAGCAGUAGGGAAUCUUCGGCAAUGGACGAAAGUCUGACCGAGCAACGCCGCGUGAGUGAAGAAGGUUUUCGGAUCGUAAAACUCUGUUGUUAGAGAAGAACAAGGGUGAGAGUAACUGUUCACCCCUUGACGGUAUCUAACCAGAAAGCCACGGCUAACUACGUGCCAGCAGCCGCGGUAAUACGUAGGUGGCAAGCGUUGUCCGGAUUUAUUGGGCGUAAAGCGAGCGCAGGCGGUUUCUUAAGUCUGAUGUGAAAGCCCCCGGCUCAACCGGGGAGGGUCAUUGGAAACUGGGAGACUUGAGUGCAGAAGAGGAGAGUGGAAUUCCAUGUGUAGCGGUGAAAUGCGUAGAUAUAUGGAGGAACACCAGUGGCGAAGGCGGCUCUCUGGUCUGUAACUGACGCUGAGGCUCGAAAGCGUGGGGAGCAAACAGGAUUAGAUACCCUGGUAGUCCACGCCGUAAACGAUGAGUGCUAAGUGUUGGAGGGUUUCCGCCCUUCAGUGCUGCAGCUAACGCAUUAAGCACUCCGCCUGGGGAGUACGACCGCAAGGUUGAAACUCAAAGGAAUUGACGGGGGCCCGCACAAGCGGUGGAGCAUGUGGUUUAAUUCGAAGCAACGCGAAGAACCUUACCAGGUCUUGACAUCCUUUGACCACUCUAGAGAUAGAGCUUCCCCUUCGGGGGCAAAGUGACAGGUGGUGCAUGGUUGUCGUCAGCUCGUGUCGUGAGAUGUUGGGUUAAGUCCCGCAACGAGCGCAACCCUUAUUGUUAGUUGCCAUCAUUUAGUUGGGCACUCUAGCAAGACUGCCGGUGACAAACCGGAGGAAGGUGGGGAUGACGUCAAAUCAUCAUGCCCCUUAUGACCUGGGCUACACACGUGCUACAAUGGGAAGUACAACGAGUCGCGAAGUCGCGA
rnacentral:rRNA from 1 species